GGCUGCUUGGCCGAGUGGUUAUGGCGCUAGUUUCAGGACAUCUGAACAGAGUUCCGAAUAAAGGCGGAAAUCAACAUACUAGUUGGGUUUCCCUUCGUGAGUUCGAGUCUCACAGCAGUCA